UGCUUUAUAUAACUGCACCAUUUUACACCCGUGUUUAAGAAUCUUUAACUCAACAGAAAUAAUGAGUAUCCGAGUAUCCAGUGAUUUCUGUAUGCUAUGUAGGAAUUUACGUGAUGUUGUUGAGAAAACUCAGGACGUCUAGUAACCUUACAUUUCGAGUAAGUGUCAAAGUGAGGCGGCAAGAAAAGUUAUCGACUUCUUCAAUAAACGUACCUGUGCAGCUUCAUGAAGACUGAAUGAAUCAUGGAGGACACGCAAGCAUUCAGAGAUGGGGAUUUUUCUCCAAGAUGCAGUCAAUUUCAGGGGGACAGAUCAAACUUACCAGAGCCCAGCUGUGUGUCCAUGAAGAGUAACUGGUCUAUGAAAGAACCGUUAAAAUUUGAUGGAAGACACAUCACCCGAUCUGAGCCAAAGUGACAGAUCAAUCUCACCAGAGUCCAGCUGUGUGUCCAUGAAGAGUGACCGGUCUAUGAAAGAACCAGUAAAAUUUGAGGGAAGACACACAUCAACUGAUCUGAGUAAGAAGUUAACGGACACUCCAAGAAUAUUUAGGGGAAAACACAUGCC